rnacentral:rRNA from 1 species
UACGGGAGUGGCAAGCGUUAUCCGGAAUUAUUGGGCGUAAAGCGUCCGCAGGCGGUCUUAUAAGUCUGCUGUUAAAGCGUGGAGCUUAACUCCAUUUCGGCAGUGGAAACUGUAAGACUAGAGUGUGGUAGGGGCAGAGGGAAUUCCCGGUGUAGCGGUGAAAUGCGUAGAUAUCGGGAAGAACACCAGUGGCGAAGGCGCUCUGCUGGGCCAUAACUGACGCUCAUGGACGAAAGCCAGGGGAGCGAAAGGGAUUAGAUACCCCUGUAGUCCUGGCCGUAAACGAUGAACACUAGGUGUCGGGGGAAUCGACCCCCUCGGUGUCGUAGCCAACGCGUUAAGUGUUCCGCCUGGGGAGUACGCACGCAAGUGUGAAACUCAAAGGAAUUGACGGGGGCCCGCACAAGCGGUGGAGUAUGUGGUUUAAUUCGAUGCAACGCGAAGAACCUUACCAGGGUUUGACAUCCUGCGAAUCUCUUGGAAACGAGAGAGUGCCUUCGGGAACGCAGUGACAGGUGGUGCAUGGCUGUCGUCAGCUCGUGUCGUGAGAUGUUGGGUUAAGUCCCGCAACGAGCGCAACCCACGUCGUUAGUUGCCAGCAUUUAGUUGGGCACUCUAGCGAGACCGCCGGUGAUAAACCGGAGGAAGGUGUGGAUGACGUCAAGUCAUCAUGCCCCUUACAUCCUGGGCUACACACGUACUACAAUGCUACGGACAAAGGGCAGCAAACUCGCGAGAGCUAGCAAAUCCCAUAAACCGUGGCUCAGUUCAGAUCGUAGGCUGCAACUCGCCUACGUGAAGGAGGAAUCGCUAGUAAUCGCAGGUCAGCAUACUGCGGUGAAUACGUUCCCGGGCCU